rnacentral:rRNA from 1 species
CAAUAGCGUAUAUUUAAGUUGUUGCAGUUAAAAAGCUCGUAGUUGGAUUUCGGAUGGGACUUGCCGGUCCGUCGUUUCGAUGUGCACUGGCCAGUCCUAUCUUGUUGUCGGGGACUAGCUCCUGGGCUUCACUGUCCGGGACUAGGAGCUGACGAGGUUACUUUGAGUAAAUUAGAGUGUUCAAAGCAAGCCUACGCUCUGAAUACAUUAGCAUGGAAUAACACGAUAGGACCCUGGCUUAUCUUGUUGGUCUGUGAGACCAGAGUAAUGAUUAAGAGGGACAGUCGGGGGCAUUCGUAUUUCAUUGUCAGAGGUGAAAUUCUUGGAUUUAUGAAAGACGAACUUCUGCGAAAGCAUUUGUCAAGGAUGUUUUCAUUAA